rnacentral:rRNA from 1 species
AACGAACGCUGGCGGCAGGCUUAACACAUGCAAGUCGAACGCAUCGCAAGAUGAGUGGCAGACGGGUGAGUAACGCGUGGGAACAUACCCUUUUCUACGGAAUAGCUCUGGGAAACUGGAAUUAAUACCGUAUACGCCCUACGGGGGAAAGAUUUAUCGGGGAAGGAUUGGCCCGCGUUGGAUUAGCUAGUUGGUGGGGUAAAGGCCUACCAAGGCGACGAUCCAUAGCUGGUCUGAGAGGAUGAUCAGCCACAUUGGGACUGAGACAUGGCCCAAGCUCCUACGGGAGGCAGCAGUGGGGAAUAUUGGACAAUGGGCGCAAGCCUGAUCCAGCCAUGCCGCGUGAGUGAUGAAGGCCUUAGGGUUGUAAAGCUCUUUCACCGAUGAAGAUAAUGACGGUAGUCGGAGAAGAAGCCCCGGCUAACUUCGUGCCAGCCGCCGCAGUAA